rnacentral:rRNA from 1 species
AGGACGAACGCUGGCGGCGUGCCUAAUACAUGCAAGUCGAACGGUCUUUUCUAUGGAAGCUUGCUUCCACUGAGAAGAUAGUGGCGAACGGGUGAGUAACACGUGGGUAACCUGCCCAUAAGAGGGGGGAUAACAUCCGGAAACGGGUGCUAAUACCGCAUAGUUUUCUUGAUCGCAUGAUCGGGAAAGGAAAGACGGCCUUUGUGCUGUCGCUUAUGGAUGGACCCGCGGCGUAUUAGUUAGUUGGUGAGGUAACGGCUCACCAAGACGAUGAUACGUAGCCGACCUGAGAGGGUGAUCGGCCACAUUGGGACUGAGACACGGCCCAAACUCCUACGGGAGGCAGCAGUAGGGAAUCUUCCGCAAUGGACGAAAGUCUGACGGAGCAACGCCGCGUGAGUGAAGAAAAGGUUUUCGGAUCGUAAAACUCUGUUGUCAGAGAAGAACAAGUUGGAGAGUAACUGCUCCAGCCUUGACGGUAUCUGACCAGAAGGCCACGGCUAACUACGUGCCAGCAGCCGC